GCUGGGCAUGGUGGCUCAUGCCUGUAAUCCCAGCACUUUGGGAGGCCGAGGCGGGUGGAUCACCUGAGGUCAGGAGUUUGAGACCACCCUGACCAACAUGGAGAAACCCCGUCUCUA
rnacentral:SRP_RNA from 1 species